CUUCCCCGGGCUCGGCGCCUUUCCUUUUACUUCACUGGAAAAUCCGCUCCGGGUCUUCCUUACGCCUGUCUCCCUUCCCCGACUCCCCGCUCCAACGCGGGGGUCCAGCACGUCGCUUUCCCUCUCUCUGCUUUUCCAGGGAGGAGGCGAGAGGAGGCGAAAGGAAGGAAACUCCAGCACGGGUUUUCGGGCCGGCUCCUGGGGCGCUCAAGCGGGUUGCGGCGGCCAGUCCCGGGCGGCGACUCCGGGCCGGAUUUUGCGCGCGCCCACCGCCCCCCUCCCGGAGCGGGUGCGCCGGGGAGAGGGGAGAGCUGGCGGCUUGUCAUUGCUGGUUCCCGGCUCCGGCUCGGUCCGCGCGUCCUGCGGUGCCCACGGGCCCGGCCUGGCGCCCCCCCCUCCGGCCGCGCCGCCCCUCUCCGCCAGCUCCGCGCCGCCCGCCCCCAACCCGAGCUCCCCGCGGCCACUGCGGGGAGCCCGAGCCGUCGGCGCGGGAGCUGUCGGCGCUGCGGUGCCCCCGCCCCGCCGUCUGCCGAGGAGGCCCCGGCUGAGGGGGCCGCGCGGGCCCCGGAGCGGCGCCGCCGAGCGGCGGGGGCCUGCAGGGGCGCCCCCGCUGCCCCGUUAACCCCUCGUCCACCGCCGCCGUCGGAGGGGGCUGGGAAGUCGCCUGGGCACACACGUGCCGCCUCCGUUGGGGCCGCGGAGCUGCGGGGGAGAUGCGGGCCGCUGCCGGCGCCGCCUCGGGGCGCUCCGCCUCGCCCCAGCCCCCGGCGCUCUGACGCCGCCCCCGCCCCACAGCCUCCCUCCCCGGGAGGGGCGCAGACCCGAUCGCCCCCAGUCCCGAGCCUCCGCCGCCGCGAGGGGGCCGCCUUUGGAUCCGUGUAAUCCGCCUCUUUUUUUCUAUUUUCUUUUUUUUUUUUUUUUUUUUUUUCUAAUUUUUGGUUGGUGGCGGCGGUGCUGGGCCAGGGGAAGGAAGGGACACGGAGGCCGCCCUCGCCCCGCCACCUCCUACCAGCUUCCCCCCAGCCCCGGCUCCGGGAGAUGUGCCGGGCGGGGGGCCCGGGUUCGCCGAGCCGCAGGAGAGACACGCUGGGCCGACCCCAGAGCGGCGCUGGACAGAGCCAACACAGAUCUAUAGAUUUCUUUGAACUCGGAAUCUCAUAGCACCAAUAUUUUUGCACAGAACUCUUACUUACAUGUCUCAUCGAAACUCCAGAACAAACAUCAAAAGCUUGUCAGCUCAUUUGCAGCUUACAUUUUUGGUUUCUUCCACAAAAAUGAUAAGCCAUCACCAAACUCAGAAAAUGAACAAAAUUCUGUUACCCUGGAAGUCCUGCUUGUGAAAGUUUGCCACAAAAAAAGAAAGGAUGUAUGUUGUCCAAUAAGGCAAGUUCCCACAGGUAAAAAGCAGGUGCCUUUGAAUCCUGACCUCAAUCAAACAAAACCUGGAAAUUUCCCGUCCCUUGCAGUUUCCAGUAAUGAAUUUGAACCUAGUAACAGCCACAUGGUGAAGUCUUACUCGUUGCUAUUUAGAGUGACUCGUCCAAGAAGAAGAGAGUUUAAUGGAAUGAUUAAUGGAGAAACCAUGAAAAUAUUGGUAAUUUUUUUUUUUACUAGAUUUUAUCACUGGAGAUUAAGAUGGUCAUUGAAAAUGAUUGUACCAGUGUUCCUUCAUGAUAGUCAUGGUGCUGAGUCUUAAAGCAAACAGUGAAUUCACCUCCACCUCAACAUUUUGUUGUGCAAAUUUUCAAACAUAAAGGACAAUGAGAAGUAUUUUAUAGUGAACACUUAUCUACUUACCUCUUAGAUUCAACAAUGAAUAUUUUAUUAUACUUGUUGCAUAUUUAUCCCCCUACCCAUCCCUCUUUUCUUCCAACAAUUGUGAAUUCAUCUUUGAGGUAUUCAUUCAACAAACACAUAGGUGCUGGGGAUGAUUUAAUUUAAUCGAAGAUGAUUAAAGCAUUCAGUCCUGUCCUCCAAAGUCUCACAACCUAGUGUAGGGAAAUAGACAUGAAAUAUAUCAUUGCUGCAAAAUGAUGAGUGGCAUAAUACAGGUAUAUGUGAAGUUCAGCAGAGAAACACGUUGGAAGAAAUAAUCUUUGACUCUUGAAGUAUUGUUUGAAGUUUUUGGGAGUUACCACGAGUGAGAAGGAGUUUGCCUAGCAAAGAUAAUUCUAAACAGAAACAUUAGCAUUUGCAAAGAUGUGGGGUUAAUGUUGUGAGUGUUAAAAAGAACAUAUAGUAAAAAUGCAAAAUUGGAAACGUGGUCUGUAUAUUAUUGCAACUUUAGUGUAAUUCCUACCUCAUUUGGGAUAAAUGUAGCAUGUUUUAUGUUAAGGGACCAUAUAUCGUAACACAUUUUUGUUCUAAUAUUUGAUUUAUGAGAAAUGUUUGUUAAAUUUAGAUGUCAGUGAAGAGCUUCCAGCCAGAAGAAAAUGAAAUCGUGAGGAUGGGGAAAAGACAUUUGUUGCACAAAUGACAGUAUUUGAUAAAAACAGGUAAUGUUGAUGAACAAGCGAGGCUCCCACAAUGUUCUGGAAAUGUUUUCAUUCUGAAG
rnacentral:lncRNA from 10 species